rnacentral:rRNA from 1 species
UACGUAGGGGGCAAGCGUUGUCCGGAAUCAUUGGGCGUAAAGAGCGUGUAGGCGGCUUGGUAAGUCCGCUGUGAAAGUCCAGGGCUCAACCCUGGAAUGCCGGUGGAAACUGUCAAGCUUGAGUCCGGAAGAGGCGAGUGGAAUUCCUGGUGUAGCGGUGAAAUGCGCAGAUAUCAGGAGGAACACCAAUGGCGAAGGCAGCUCGCUGGGACGGUACUGACGCUGAGACGCGAAAGCGUGGGGAGCAA